AAGCAUCGGCUCCUGGGCUCCCCCACAGGGUUUCUUCUGAUUGGGUUUCUGCAAUGUCGAUCUUGAUGGAUCUCGGCCCAAUGGCGCGCAACGCAGCGCCAGAUCAGGAGAAAAUCCUUGCCGUUGGGGCGUCGGAGGAUCAGUCACACCUAUAAUCUGCUUCCUUCCGCUGCCAGUCUGAGCUCUCAAGGACUUUGGGGAGACAGCAUGCACGUUCUUGUACUGUACAAGUACUGUACAUGCAAAUACAGAUCUGUACAGAGAGAUUGAUUCCGCUGUUAGUUGAAGCUUUUUUGUCGUCGGGUUUCUCAACCCCUCAUAGUUAAAAAGUGGGGAUUGUGAACAGCUUGAAGUUAAUGCAUCACAAACUUUAUUGUUAAUAAUUGCUUUUAUUUCAAUUAUUUUUCUUCAUAAAUAUUGAGAGCUUUGGAAAAAUUUCUCCAUAUCAAGCCUCAGGUGUAGAUAGGGUCGGUGACAACGCUGCAGAAUAUGGAGAUAUUUCAGCAAGGGCCGAAGUUGAUGGUCGUGGCACCAUUGGGUCCGUCCGCGCUGACCGCGCCCGAAUGAAGAAUCAACGGGUAUUCUGGCAUUUACCGGCUUUGAAUCGGGCCUUGAACACAAAUUACAUGGAACUUGAAAUUCUCUAUCCAGUGUCCGAGUAAAGUUCACUUGCUGCUUGUUCAGUGGGCGAUACCGUGCACCGGCACAGUACAUAUACAGUAAUAACAAAUACAUCCCGCCCCCAAGGACGUACAGUACAUCGUAGAUGCACUCUUCUCCGUGAGGAUGGCUGUGGAAUAUUGAUGCAGUAGUGGGGCAAGGAUUUCGAUACGUGCUGGAGCGGUCGCAUUCUGACCGUGCCGAGUCGAGGUUAAGAUCUGCUUCAAGCCGAAGCGGUGGUUGGCGUAUGGGUGAAAAGAUUCAUCCUUGCUCAGGAUCGGUGAGCACUAAGCAUGACGAACUAACGGACCGCUAGUGGCUCGGUAACUUAAACUAACGGUAGGGAGCUUUUUUUCAAGUGGAUGAGCUGGAUCUCGCAAGAGCUCCAAGACGCCAGGGAACAAUCUCUGCUCUUGUCUUGGCAUCAACAAUGAUGAAAACGAGACUUCAGGCAGCCUGAAGCUGCUUUGCGUAUAUUCGAGGAUGUCAGCUCUCCGCUGAACCUGACUUGUCCAGCGUAUUGACUGAUCAAUCCAAGGACAAACCUAGCAAAGCUUUGAAUCUUGCUAUUUUAGGAUGAUGCGCAAUAACUUACACAUUAUACGACUUCCUUCUUCGGAUCUUCGUUCUAG
rnacentral:sRNA from 1 species